GAUGCAAAAUAUGAGGGAUGCACCAGGUACACACAUCCGACGUAUCCCAUUUAUUUUAAAUCAUGAAACAUAUACAAGUACAGAACACCACCAGCCCUUCUCUUUCUCCUGACACAAUAAAUUGUACAUAGUUCAUACAAUACAUGGCACGGAACAAUACUUAAUUAACACACAAAUGAGAAAGCAGCAUCCAUGUUUGAACAUUUGGCUGAAGCGUACGGGGCCAUCCUGGAAUGACCUAGCUUCAAUAUUUAUGAGAGGAGCUGCAAUAUUAGGAUUUAGGUUUUACUUGUAGCAAAUCUUGUUCUUACAUCUGCAACCGAUGGCCUGAAUAAAGCACGGUAGCAUAAGACAAGUUUCCCCACACGAGAUACCACCCUGCCAAGCAAAUUCCCUUGCACUCCUGUUUAAGCUCAGGACGGAGGUGGUAUCCUGCAGCGAGCGGGCCAUGGCCAUCGGAGCUGCCAUGAGCUGAUGCAGCACCACCAUCAUGGCCACCAAUGCCACGACACCGGUAGCCCUCUUGCCACUCUCCAUGCCCACCCUCUCUUUGUGACUAUUUGUUCUCUGAUGGCUUUCUUUUGCUUGGUUUCCUCGGCUCCCAAGGAUGUUUCUCCCUUUUGUAGGCAGCAGCUUCUCACAAACACAUCUAAACAUGCCUGUCAUUUUCCCAUGCGUCUCGUGAGUUGGCAUGAUGAGGACAUAAGUUCAAGAAUUGCUUUUCAAUAACAUUUUGGGUGUAACUUGCUUUAUUGCUACAGCUACAAGUAGUGACCUGUCACACAUGGUUUUAAAAUAAAAUCAAGUGGUACCUAUAUGUAUGCUAGGAUCAAGUUCAUACAUAUAGUGACAUCAUCAGUGAAUAAUAGUAACCGUAUCACGUAAAAGAAUAAGAGAGCAUAUCAAAGAUUUACGCAUAAUCCUAGAAAUGAAGGCUCCAAACUUCACAGGCAAUCGACUGGGAGUUGUGUACGUCUAGAACUUAGCACCAUCUUCACAACAACUUCAUAACAGCUUCUUCUUCUGAGUAACGUUGGUUAUAGCAAGGGUGAGCACAUGUCAUACUCAACAAGUGUGGUGGAAAUAUUAAUGCAAGGCUUAAACAAGGAUAGGCUGACUGGUUGAUAGCAUUAAGCAUAUGGCACAACCAUAACCAUGAUUUAAGUCCAUCUUCAAGUAUAUUAAUCAUGUGAGGGUUCAGGCCACUCUUGACUGUGAGCACGACUAAUCAAUUAGUUUUACACUCUGUAGAGAUUGCACAUCUUUACGCACAAGUCGCGCAAAAGCUCAAAAAAACUUUAAACCCAACCAUGCUGUGCGGGCCAGGCACAAUACCACACUUCCGAGGUGUGAUUGCAUAGAGACGCUACGAGGCCUCUACAAAGAUUCGCUAUGGUUUAUGCUUCGUAGCUAGAGAAAUUUAUGAUUUUUUAGAAUGAGGAGAAAUGAGAGUUUUUUAUUUAUACAUGCAUGGAGAAUGGAGAUUUUUUACCUAUUAAGUUAGAUGAAAAUUAGAGUUCAAAUAAAUAUAAUUUUUUCCUUGAAAAACAAUAAAUUAAUACUAUAUUUGAUGCUCUAAUAAUUUUAUUUUGGAGUUGUCUUAUACAUGGUCUAAUAAUUUUAUUUUGGAGUUGUUUUAAUACUAUAUGUGAUCCAUGUGAAGCAAGAGAGAGUGUACUAAUUCAUGCUCUAGUUUAUAUUGAUGAACUUCUAUGCUUUAGGAUUGGAGACUUAAACUAUGUUGAAUAUCUAAGGAGAUGAAGUGGAGUAUGAAAUAUGUAGCAUGCAUGGAUGUGCCCCUACCCUUUUUCAUAUGGAUUUGAACUUGUUCUCUCUAAGACCUUUAGUAUUGAUGUACGAACUUGUGAGAUUGAUUAUAUUUAUUUUAUUGCAUAUAUAAUGUUCUCUGAUAGUUGUGAGAGUUGGAUUUGAAUGGGUUGAUAUAUUAACGUAAUAUUAUUAGUAUAUGCAAGCGGAUAUGAAUACUAAUUAAAACAAAAGGAAAACAAAAGGGUAAAAAAAAGAAAAGGAAUAAAAUUUUAGUGCCGGUUAAUAAAACCAACCGGUACUAAACUGCCGACCCCAACAGCGCGACGUGGCACGCAGUUCAGUACCCGAUGGUGUUACCAACCGGUACUAAAUUGCGCAUUUAGUGCCGGUUGGGCUGCUAGGUACUAAAUGCCACCUGAACUAGCGAUAGCGGUCGGGCACCAGUACUGAAGGAUGGUUCCCGACCGGUACUAGAAGUCAAUUGUCCAGCUGUGAAACCAUGGACUAGCAUUGUGCAGGAGUGAUCAUCCACAUGAUAAUUUGCAAUAGGCUGCGUCCCCUCUGGAUGAUAUGGAUGCCGACUAAUAUCAUAAGCAGCUGCUAGCAUUGGAGUAACAAUUUCUUUAUGUGCAGCCGGAGGUUGACAACAUGGGCAGUGGGGUCACAUUUUGUUGGAUCACUCUUUCUUUCAUAAGGUGAACCUUGUUCAUCUUCAAUUGGCUCUUCUGACAGGCCCAGCAAGGGAAAGAGGUGGAGAAGUAGCCUUCUUCUUUGAUGCAUAUUUCUAAAACAGAGAUGCAAUGUCUCCAUUCCUCUUCAUGUUUCAACAUAUCUGCAAGAGAAUUGUGCCAUGUUUCAAUUUGCGAAUCCAACUUCGCAUUUGAAUCCUAAAAUUGAACUGUACAUAAACCAAUUAUUCAUAUUCAAGUAGACGGGCGAAGCAAUCGAUGAAUGAAACAACAGGCGGAGGAAAUAGGUGCCAGCCAAAAUCGUAAGGGGUAAUGGGCCUUGGGCCAGAAAUUCCAAGGUUGUCCCAAGCCCACAUGGACCACCGUGUAGCUCCGCCCCUAAUUACAUGCCUUGCUGGUCCUAGAAUCAUGGAGUCCUAUCUAGAUAUGUUAACGGGAACAAACCUGCUUGGUUUUACCAUCCCAAACCUAUGCCCACGUAGAAUAUCUAAACCCGUUGAAAAACCCAUGCUCGUGACAUGUUGAGAAUUAUGCCUAAACCCGUGCCCAUCGGGUUAGCGGGACUAGGUACCCAUGGGCCGCCUAUGGGUUGCGCCUCUGCUAUGCUUGUUCUUCUCAUAAUUGACAAGUUUCAUGAUGAGCAAUGAGUUCAUAGUCCAUAUAUUUAUAUGAUGAGCAACAAGUUCAUAGUUCUCUAUAAAAAGUACUAGUAGAGAGAAUAAAACUACAAAUAACAAGACCACAGUACACACACAAGUCACCAAUCCACCACAUACAUAACAUAAGCACUAUAAUAGCAAGCUAGCAACACCCUCACCCACCACCAACACAUUCACCAUUUGGAAAAUGAUGAAGUAAAGGGGGACCGACAUCAAUUUUAUAAUACGUUCAUAAAAUAAACUGACAAUAUGCAUUGGACCGGGUUUAAAAAGCCCAGGGGUUCACGGGUUGGGUACUAUAGGAACAAAGCCAUGCCCGUAAACCCAAAUGGUAGAGAUUUGUGCCAUUAACAAACCUAUGGGUAAGAAAAUUAACCCACACCUGUGUCCUAAUAGGGUAAAAACCCAUCGUGUUUUGGGUACUCAUUGCAAUCUCUAGUCCUGUAGCUGCUUUCCAAUAACCUUUAGCCAGGCAGUAUGGCUGCAGUCAUCCGAGCAUCCAGAAGACCGGCACAGACGCAGUCAUGUUUGUACACCGUGAAAUCGCAGAAUAUGCUAGUCGCUGGAGCUAGGAUCACCCUUUCGUUAAGUUUGCUCAACCAGUAAACCCUCGAUGAGAUGACUGAGUUGAUCACAGGAUACCUUUUUGCCAGAUCAAAGAAUGACAUUGUGUCACCGCGUUCAUAAAAAUGAUUAGAUGAAGACUUUUCUUUCCAACCUUGGGUGAGCUUGAUAUAUUCAAGAGCUUUGGCCCUCGACUGUCCUACUAUAUAUACAACGGAAUGCCAAGAUAUCGAUAAUUUCUGUACAUCUGUUGGCACACCAUGGCAGUUUAGGACCGUCUGCUACUUUUGAUGUCUUCAUAUCUUGUGGUGUUUUUGCUGAAAGUCACAGUAGCUUGAACGAGAGGAAAAAAACGAGUUUCCUUUUGCCUGAUUGUUUUGGUAGGAUUGUUUCUUCCUAAAAUAAAGCACCGAGGCGUGCACAGUACAUGUACUAUUGGUCAGUAGUCCUAGCAAUGAAUGAUUUAGGGGGUGUUUGGAUACACCCUUCUAAACUUUAGUAACUGUCACAUCAGAUGUUUGGAUACUAAUUAGGAGUAUUAAAUAUAGUCUAAUUACAAAACUAAUUACACAGAUGGAGUCUAAUUCGCGAGACGAAUCUAUUAAGCCUAAUUAGUCCAUGAUUUGACAAUGUGGUGCUACAGUAACCAUUUGCUAAUGAUGGAUUAAUUAGGCUUAAUAGAUUCGUCUCGCGAAUUAGUAUAGAGGUUAUGUAGUUAGUUUUAUAAUUAGCUCAUGUUUAGUCCUCCUAAUUAGCGUCCGAACAUCCGAUGUGACCCUCCUAAACUUUAGCACCUCGUAUCCAAACACCCCCUUAACCAGAUGGCGCAGCUGUGGUGUCUAGUUGUGCUCUUCUAGCGGGGAGACUGCAGAUAUUGCCAUCACAAGAUGCCGUUAGACAUCACAUGUGCUGACCUUGUGGCAACCAUCCAUGCGCAAAUAGUAAUUGAGAGAGGACAUCAAAGCAUGAAGAUGAGAGUGGCAGUGGUGUGGUCGAAUUAAUUGUUGGUGGCCAGAUGCUGGCUCUAAAGCCAAUUAAUGGCAGCUCCCAUGACCAUGGCCCGCUCAUGGCUCACUCCCGGACAGCACCCCGUCUUGGCGUUAAGCACGAUUGCAAGGGAAUUCUCGUGUACCUAACUACAUUAAAAAUGGCAAUUGUUAAUUGACCUACUGAAUAAUUAGUAACAUAGGGAAGUCCCCCACGCAACACAGGAAGUAGGCUCUUUCUGGUGGAAGGAUAUCCUCAGACUAAACACUUGUUUCAGAGGAGUUGCAAGAUGUGUUCUAGGAGAUGGUUCUACAGUGAUGUUUUGGGAAGACCUUUGGAGUCAUCAGGUUCUAGCAGAUUCGUUCCCACGACUAUUCUCGUUCGCCUUGAACACGCAGAAGAAGCAUAUCCAGAGUUCUUGGCCCUGCAACAAUUCCUUGAAACCAUCCCCUAUGAUGGUCAUUCGAGAGAUCAGUGGAUAUACAUCUAGGGUAACAACACGUACACAUCAAAACGAUUCUACAAUUUUGUCUACACUAGCAUCCAGGCUCCUAUCACCUUUAGUUGGCUAUGGAAGUCCAAGUGCAUGCCACGGUUAAAGUUUUUUGCCUCGUUGCUCCUAGUUGAUCGACUGAAUAUAAGAGGCAUACUUAGAAGACGACAUUAUAAUGUUCAGCAGGAGUUGGCUGCUGUUUUGCUUCUAGUUCUUUGCUUUUUGAGUGUCCCUUUGCUCAAACCUGCUGGUCCAAAAUUCAGAUUACUUGGACAGACCAGAACAUUCACGACAAAAUUAUUUCAGCCAGACAAUUUCAAGACAACCGCCUCUUCAUGGAUAUAUUCAUCAUUGUAGCUUGGGAAUUAUGGAAAAUGAGGAACGCCAUCAUCUUUGAUGCAACGAGACCAAACCUUAGACUCUGGGUCGUGAGAUUCAGAGAACAAGUAGCCCUCCAAUUGCAUAGGCUUAGGGAGGAUCGCCGAGCUAUUUCUAUUCAAUGGCUAGAGUCUGUGUUGUAACCUAAUCACCCCCUCCCUCCUCCUCCUUUCUCUUUCUCACCCUCCUUUGUAAGUAUCUCCUGUACUUUUGCCUCCCUUAUUUUUUUGAAAAUGAAGUGCGGUGGGUAACUCCCCCACGGCUUUUGCUAAAAAAAAAACAUGUUUUAAUAUGAGGUCUUCGGAACAUUACUUGCAAUGGUUCCCCCACGGUGUAGUCUAUAUUUAUUAUGUGUCUCAUCAACUCCUUCAAAUUUUCUUGAAUUUCAUCAUGGUUAAUAAUUUUUAAACUGAAAAUAUAAUAAUCCCAAAAAUGCUAUCAUAGCGAACAACUAUUAUGACUGCUGCUCAAUGAAGAUCAUUUCAAGACUUAAUUAUUGUUCGUCACUAUCGAGCAAGGUUGCAUUUUAUAGUCUGCUUACCCUCUUCUAAAUUUUUCACAGAUCCUUUCUUGGUCUAAUUUCACAUAACCUUUUUCUCACCAUAGCAAAUUGCUCAACUACAUCAGCAAGUUGCUCAACUACCUCUCUGCUCCAGCAUCCGAAUCCCAAGCGCUCGCGUCCCACCAGCCCAUCCUGUCUAGGAGUGAAGGAGGCCAUGGUGGCACGCGUUCCACGAUGUAGGAACAUCUCGGCAUUGGACACAACAGUGAGGUCUUAGUCAUGCUCGAGCUGUGGGGAGCAGCAGUUAUCCGCCCUGGGCCCCGUACUGAUGGAGAAGGAGGAUGGGGAGGGGGAGGGAAGAGCGGGGCUGAGGAGGGGUCAUGGACGGCAGCAGCGAGACAGCUAGGGCAACAAUGGUGUUCGGGGCCCGGCCGAGGAACUCCUAGGCCAGGCUGACGAGGGGGCGUGGAGGUUGGGAUGUGGGAUGCCGCUGCUGCCUAGAAUGGCCAUGCCACACCUUGCCCAACCCUUAGCUGGAACACCGGGACGCUGUACAAGCGAUUUUCACAUAAUCAUGCAAUCCUGAAAAUCUACUGGCAGGAUAAGCUGUGAGUUUGUCAACCUUAUUUUCGAUGAGCAGAUUAUCUUUACUAAGUGUACAAUGACGUGUAUGCUUUGAAGUUGUUAAAAUCUGAUUUGAGUACACUAAAUUUUGACAUUAUAUGAGCGAUAUUUUAAUGAAGAAAUAAUAUGGCAUUAAUUUGCCUAUCUCAGCAUGCACACACACAUUGCGCACCACUAAUGCACCGAGCUGAAUCAAGAUUCAGCAAUGAGUCAGUAUCCAUCCCUACUAUGAUUCAGCACCGAACUGAAUGAUGAAAUGGUGCACGGCGAGAAAAAUCCAACCCGACGCUGCGCUGCCUUAUGCCCAUCAUAUCAACCCUCCUUCUAAUUAAGGUUGCAGAUUGAACAAGCUUCGCUGGAGAUGACUUAAUUGGGUCAGGCAUGUCGACACUAAAACUCAGUCACUUUUGACGACGUUCCAAAUUAAAGGAACAUGGAAACGUACGAAGAAGAAAUUCCAAAUUAACAUGAAUCUUUAUAUUUUCUUUAAGGCAUUUGGGACUGAUACUCGGAACUCCGUCUGGUCGAUCGUAGUAUCAAAUUAGAAGCUUGGGAUGAUAUAGCACAAUUGGAACAGCUGCCAAAGUGAUGCAAAAUAUGAGGGAUGCAGCAGGUACACACAUCCAACGUAUCCCAUUUAUUUUAAAUCAUGAAACAUAUACAAGUACAGAACACCACCGGCCCUUCUCUUUCUCCUGACACAAUAAAUUGUACAUAGUUCAUACAAUACAUGGCACGGAACAAUACUUAAUUAACACACAAAUGAGAAAGCAGCAUCCAUGUUUCAACAUUUGGCUGAAGCGUACGGGGCAUCCUGGAAUGACCUAGCUUCAAUAUUUAUGAGAGGAGCAGCAAUAUCAGGAUUUAGGUUUUACUUGUAGCAAACUCUGUCCUGACAGCUGCAACCGAUGGCAGCAGUAACGCACGGUAUCAAGAAACAACUUUCCCCACACGGGAUACCACCCUGCGAAGCAAAUUCCCUUGCAAUCCUGUUUAAGCUCAGGACGGGGGUGCUAUCCUGCACCGAGCGGGCCAUGGCCAUCGGAGCUGCCAUGAGCUGCAGAACCACCAUCAUGGCCACCAAUACCACGACACCGGUAGCCCUCUUGCCACUCUCCAUGCCCACCCUCUCUGUGUGACUAUUUGUGCUCUGAUGGCUUUCUGUUGCUUGGUUUGCUCGGCUCCCAAGGAUGUUUCUCCUUUUUGUAGGCAGCAGCUUCUGACGACAAACACAUCUAAACAAGCCUGUCACUUUCCCAUGCGUCGCGUGAGUUGGCAUUAUGAGGACAUUACUUCAAAAAUUGCUUUCAAU
rnacentral:lncRNA from 1 species